CCCCCAGUUGGUUUACUAUGUGUUUGAGCUGAGAACAGGCUGAUUGGAGGGCUUUGGAGCUGCUAUAGAUGAGUAGGGAGAGGAGUUUUGGAGGUAUUUCGCAGCCCUAACACAGCAGUAGUUGAGUUGAAGUUUUGGUGAGCUGAUUUGGGAGGUUUAUAGCAGCUGUAGAAGAGGAGUUUUGCUGUGGUUCUUCAACCCUAAUCCAAGAAAAAGUUGAGUUGGAGUUGUUGGUAGGUAUACUACCUAAUUUCUCACUAGUUAAUGUUCUAGUAGUUGUAUUGGUGUUAGUAGUGGUGGGCUUUUGAUACUAGUUAACAGCAGGUUUGAGAACCACCUCGAGCUGAGUUUGGUGGUUCUUGAAGCUUGGAUUUGGUGUGUUCCAACCUAAUUUGAGGUGGAGUUCAAAAUUGGAGCCUAUACUAGGUGUAAUUCUACCUAAGUGAGAUG